GGAGCGGACGUGGCUGACUGGUUACGUCGUUCGCUUUGUAAGCGAAUGGUCAUGGGUUUGAUUCCCAUCUGCUCCC
rnacentral:tRNA from 1 species